GUCGAGCGCUUCACUUCGGUUGAGGAGCGGCAGACGGGUGAGUAACGCGUACACAAUCUACCUUAUAGAGGAGAAUAGCCCUGGGAAACUGGGAUUAAUGCUCCAUAGUAUUACACUUUGGCAUCAAGGUGUAAUUAAAGCUCCGGCGCUAUAAGAUGAGUGUGCGUACUAUUAGCUAGUUGGUAAGGUAACGGCUUACCAAGGCUACGAUAGUUAGGGGGCGUGAGAGCGUGACCCCCCACACGGGUACUGAGACACGGACCCGACUCCUACGGGAGGCAGCAGUAAGGAAUAUUGGACAAUGGGCGCAAGCCUGAUCCAGCCAUCCCGCGUGGAGGAUGACUGCCCUAUGGGUUGUAAACUCCUUUUAUUUGAGAAGAAACGCCUGGAUUUAUCCGGGCCUGACGGUAUCUUAUGAAUAAGCACCGGCUAACUCCGUGCCAGCAGCCGCGGUAAUACGGAGGGUGCAAGCGUUAUCCGGAAUCACUGGGUUUAAAGGGUGCGUAGGUGGUUUAGUAAGUCAGAUGUGAAAGCCCGGCGCUCAACGUCGGAAUUGCAUUUGAUACUGCUGAACUUGAAUCAGGUUGAGGUGGGCGGAAUGUGGCAUGUAGCGGUGAAAU
rnacentral:rRNA from 1 species